rnacentral:tRNA from 1 species
AUAGUGGUAGUUAAAUUAUAAUUUUGGAAUUGCACUUUGAGGUUGGGUUUAUUAACCCUCACUAUG